rnacentral:rRNA from 1 species
AUGCUGGGCACCUCAGAAUUAGUUGACCAUCACCUUGAGUGCAUCGGGAAGCUUCUUCACAUGAGAUACCUCUCUCUAAGAGGAUGUGAUGGCAUUUAUCACCUGCCAGAUUCGUUGGGUAACCUGAGGCAACUUGAAACUCUACAUAUCACGGGUACACGCAUAAUAAGGCUGCCAUGGACCAUCGCCAAGCUUAGUAAGCUACGAAACAUUUGUGCUGGAGCCAUAGAAGAUAACGAUGAUGACAGACUUGAAAUCAAGACAUGUCAAGAAGAUCUACCCGAGGUAAUGAGAAACAGGCUGUGUAACAUUACUUGCUCUUCAAUUGCAUUUUGUGUGGCAUGCUGUGCACCUCAGCUUCUGAAAAAGAAGAUGGGUAUGGAUAUCGACGUGAACAGGCGUGACGUAUGCACCAUGUGCUGCUGCAACAUAUUACCUCUGUUGGCCACGUGGCAAAGUACACGUGGUGUUGCAGUGCCAAGAAGAAUUCGCAGACUGAAAGCCCUGCAAACAUUGGGUAUUGUCAACCCCACACGGGCAAAAGCCGUUCUGCAAGACAUAGAAGAGCUUACCCGGCUGAGCAAGCUAGGAGUGAUUGGCGUCAACAAGAGAAGCAGUCAAGAUUUGGUUUCGGCAAUUGCAGGUCUCAGCUGCUUGGAAUCGUUGUUAGUGCAGUCACUGGGAUAUCCUGGUUUAUCUAGCUGCUUAGAUAGCAUCUCCUCACCUCCAGCAAAUCUUCAGAGCCUCAAGCUGUUAGUGCAGUCACUGGGAUAUCCUGGUUUAUCUAGCUGCUUAGAUGGCAUCUCCUCACCUCCAGCAAAUCUUCAAAGCCUCAAGCUGUACGGCAACAUUGUGAAAUUGCCCGAAUGGAUCCAGGGGCUCACAAAUCUCGUCAAGCUGAGGCUACAGAGCUCAAGGAUUCUGGAGCAUGAUGCUGCCACACAACUCCUUCCGAAGAUACCGAAUCUGUCUACUCUGCACCUGUGGAGGGAGUCGUUCGUGGGCAACGAGGUUCGUUUCAACUUCUGUCAAGGUGCAUUCCCGAGCCUGGUGGUACUGGAGCUGGAUCGCCUAGCUGACCUGAAAUUGGUGAAGUUUGAAGAAGAAGCCACCCCGAAGCUCGAGCUGCAGUAG